rnacentral:rRNA from 1 species
UACGAAGGGGGCUAGCGUUGUUCGGAAUUACUGGGCGUAAAGCGCACGUAGGCGGAUACUUAAGUCAGGGGUGAAAUCCCGGGGCUCAACCCCGGAACUGCCUUUGAUACUGGGUAUCUCGAGUCCGGAAGAGGUGAGUGGAAUUCCGAGUGUAGAGGUGAAAUUCGUAGAUAUUCGGAGGAACACCAGUGGCGAAGGCGGCUCACUGGUCCGGUACUGACGCUGAGGCACGAAAGCGUGGGGAGCAAACAGG